UCACAUCAGUGGCAGUGCUGGGUAGCCACGUUCGUAACUGAGAAGCGCUGAAAGCAUCUAAGCGCCAAACAGGCCUCAAGACGAGAUAUCGAAGAUCCCUGGAAGACUACCAGGUUGAUAGGCGGCAGGUGUAAAAUUAGCAAUAAUUGUCUACGUUAAAUCGUAGGGUUCGCUAA
rfam:Candidatus Curtissbacteria bacterium RIFCSPLOWO2_01_FTLL_42_50 rifcsplowo2_01_scaffold_11495, whole genome shotgun sequence.